rnacentral:rRNA from 1 species
GACGAACGCUGGCGGCGUGCUUAACACAUGCAAGUCGAACGGUGAAGGGACCGGUUUUUGCUGGUUCUGGAUGAGUGGCGAACGGGUGAGUAACACGUGAGUAACCUGCCCCCUUCUUCUGGAUAACCGCAUGAAAGUGUGGCUAAUACGGGAUAUUCUGCGCCUGCUGCAUGGUGGGUGUGGGAAAGAUAUUGUUUCGGUGGGGGAUGGGCUCGCGGCCUAUCAGCUUGUUGGGGGGGUGAUGGCCUACCAAGGCGGUGACGGGUAGCCGGCCUGAGAGGGUGGACGGUCACACUGGGACUGAGACACGGCCCAGACUCCUACGGGAGGCAGCAGUGGGGAAUAUUGCACAAUGGGCGCAAGCCUGAUGCAGCGACGCCGCGUGAGGGAUGGAGGCCUUCGGGUUGUAAACCUCUUUCGCCAGUGAAGCAGGCCUGUCCCUUUUGUGGGUGGGUUGACGGUAGCUGGAUAAGAAGCGCCGGCUAACUACGUG